AGCAGCCGCGGUAAUUCCAGCUCCAAUAGCGUAUAUUAAAGUUGUUGCAGUUAAAAAGCUCGUAGUUGAACUUCGGGGUCUACCCAUUGGUCAGGCUUAAUUGUCUGCACUGGUGGGAUGGAUCUCUACCUUCUGAGGAACUUUCAUGCCAUUUAUUUGGUGUGAUUGGAAAUCAGGACUGUUACUUUGAAAAAAUUAGAGUGUUUAAAGCAGACUAUCGUCCGAAUACAUUAGCAUGGAAUAAUGAAAUAGGACGGACUGAUUCUAUUUCGUUGGUUUCUAGGAUCACCGUAAUGAUUAAUAGGGAUAGUUGGGGGCAUUAGUAUUCAAUUGUCAGAGGUGAAAUUCUUGGAUUUAUUGAAGACUAACUACUGCGAAAGCAUUUGCCAAGGAUGUUUUCAUUAAUCAAGAACGAAAGUUAGGGGAUCGAAGACGAUCAGAUACCGUCGUAGUCUUAACCAUAAACUAUGCC
rnacentral:rRNA from 1 species